GGCGGCUAUGCGGGAUUGGCAGGAGCUGCGGUGCUCACACUUGCCUCGCGGACCGCCAUUUCACAUCCAGCAGAGGAGGCGGGGGCAGCCGCUGAGACGGUUUUUCACAAGGCUUUCUCCAUAUUUACGUGCUUGUAACUCUAGCAUGACCUUUGCUCCAGUCUCUACCAGAAGGCAGUACCUGGAUUGAAGUGGAAAAGCCCUGUUUUCCAGCCAUGACCCAGGGAGCAAGCACUGACUCCUCAGGGGAACAGGAGACCUGCCAACUAGGACCCUGGGAGCCCCCAUGCUGGCAGUGCCCUGGAUCAUCUCAGGCUCAUCAGCAAAUCCUGGGGGGAGAGCGGGGCUGGAGGGCGAAGAAACCCAGGAGAGUUCCUGGCUCAGAACCCCUCUCUGAGGCUCCCGAUACAGAGCCCAGGCCCCACACCCAGAGACUCUGAGUAUUUUUGUUUAUUGUAUGUAAAAUAAUACUAGUGUAUUUUUGUUUAAGUCUCACAGGUAAACAGGUUCUCUCAUACUUUGCCAAGGGAAAUGUAAUCUGUGCAAUUUGGCAAUAACUAUCAGAAUUUUAAAAGCUUA
rnacentral:antisense_RNA from 1 species